GGGUGUGUAGCUCAGCGGGAGAGCGCUUCCUUCACACGGAAGAGGUCGUAGGUUCGAACCCUGUCACACCCACCA
rnacentral:tRNA from 2 species